CUGGCGGAGUAGAGCGGACUGGGGCCAGGUUGCUUUGCUUCCCGCCGCUGCCGGCCCCUCAACCUCUACUGGCUGCAGCUCCUCCCCAGCUCACCCACAUGGCAGCGGAAGCCUGAGCCAAUGUUCCUUCACAGGCCGUUCCAAUGGGAAGCGUUGCUGUGAUGAACUUAUGGUUGAAGUUCUGGAGAGGGCCAACAACCAGGUCCAGUACCAAAGACAGUGGAAUUAUAGCUAGAGGAAAGGCAUGGUGAGAGGCAAAAGGAGAGCCUCAGACUGGCUGCACUGCUUGAGGACAGGGUUUCACCGUGGGAACAGGAAUGGCAGCUAAGCGGGGAAGGACAGAGCUCAGCAGAAAGAACUGUUUGAAUUGCUGAUAUCAUUAAUAGCUUCAAGAAUACCUGCUCCUGCUGCAUUACCUGGACCAUGGUCUGAGUCCCCUCCGCAGUACCCUAUGAUGCAGCUCAGAAGCAGUUUGGAAGACUCCUGGCCCAUUCAAUCGGGCUCCAUGAGCAACUAUGUCCCAUGCAGGCCUCCAUAUUGAUCCUGUCCCCUGUGGAUUCCUCCAUCCCCGCCCCCAUGGGCAAGUGCACAGCAAAUUGGGAAGGAAGAUGACUGGGCAACAGAGCAUCUUCCUGACUCCUGCACAACUUUUAUGCAGAGAAGACCCAACAAGGGAUUUCUUCACAGCAGCACUUCUCUUUCAGACAGCAGGGGCCCAAUCCUGCUUCCAUUCAAAUCAAUGGGAAUUGUUCCACUGACUUCAGAGAAGCAGGAUCCAGUUCUUAGAUGGUACUUGACUACAGAAGUUCCCCAGACACACUAAUCAGUGGCAUCUCUGAAUCUACCCACUUCCACUUAGAAUUAAAACUGCAUUUAUUUCUUAGCCGUAAAGUGGAUUUUUUUUAAUACAGCUCACUAUGUGAUGCUCAUGCAAUGUAAAUCUCAUUAAUAAAAUAUA